UGGAAACAUUACUUCAUGUUUUCCUAUUUUUGUCUUUGUUUUGAGCCUCUAUGAAAAAGUGGCAUGCAAAUCCAACAUACGGAAUGGUAUGACAUCAAGAACAGAAAAGGUAAAUACAUAAUACAAAAUGGGGGGGGGGGGAGGGAAAGCUGACUGUAUUUUUGCAGGAUGUAAUGAGGUAUGAAGAAAGAUGAGAAAGGAGGAAACGUCAGAAAAACAGACAGCUUUAACAGUAAGGACUAGAAGCCUGUUGUUGUAGAGCAUGACAGUGAGCCAAUGCAUGAGUGGAAUUGUUUUUUUUUUUUUACUAAAUAGAGGCCUUGCUCACAAUCCUUAUCUCUCAGCUGAUCCACUUUUGUUGUUGUUUUGCACUUGUGGAUCAGAGUCUUUGAAGCGACAAAAGAUAUUAGCAGGUUGCAUUGAUAUCUGACUUUGCUGGAUGUUUGAACACCAGCUCUCUGCUGCGAAAUUCAUUGGGAGAACAACAUUUUAGAAUUCAGAAGCAGGUUGUGUUAGAAUAAGAACUCUAAUAGUCCUGUUGUGUUAAACAUUGGAACAAACUGCUGUUCCCAAUAGUUAUGAGGCAUCUGAUCAAGGCCUGUAUUUAAAAAUGAGCUUAAAGAUAUAUUUGCAAAUGUUUGUAUGUUUCAUGCCAGGCAGAAACCAGGUGGCUAAGUACUUUGGCAGUUGUUUAUCUUCCUGCUCUCCUGAACAAGCCCCCCCCCCCCCCCGAUUUAUAGCAGUAGCAGGAGACAAGUUUCUCAAAGUUGUAAAGGGAAUUACAGGCUGGGAGCAAAUGUUACACUGACCCUACAUAUUACAGAAUACAAUCAAGCUGCAAAAACACUAAUUAAGAGUUGGUAAAUAGUAAGAUUUAUUGUUUAACAGAAAAUAGUACCAUGUGCCUCCCAUCAGACUCUAGCCAUAUUUUCCUAAGGUUUAAGGUAUACUGAGAGAGUUAAAGGGCAAUAAAUUUUGGGAAGAGCUAAUGGGAAAAGCAGCUGGCUGGGAAAGGGUAAACUGAAGAGGCUUCUUUUGAAGCUGUUUUUACUGAGUUCCUUUUUUACUUUGCAAAGGCCUUUUCUUCUAAAAAGCUAUCUAUGUUAUGCAUGAGAUUUGUUGGCUUAAUGUAAUUAUGCAAAGGAUUUAGAAAGUAAGAAAUGUUAGAUUCUUAUGUUAGAUUCUUAUUUCAUUGAUGGUGUGUGAGAAUGUGAACCCAAGAUCUCUGUUUAGAUAGAAUUUAAUACCAUGAGCCAUUUGUUUUAGCCAUUUGUUUUGGAAUGCAGGGGCAACAGGGGCAAAAGGUGAUCUGGUAAUUAAGGUGCCUUGUCGAGGCAAAUGUAAGAUAUAUGGCUACUUGUCUGCCAUUUAUGGAUAGAAGGAAAUAUAGCUCUUUGUCUCCCAUAAAAGGUAAUAGGAAAUGGGUGUAUCUUUUAUGAUUGGUUCUAGCAAACAGCCAAUAGGAAUUUCAACCAGGCUGAUUGGACAGAGGCAGCCAAAGGAGGAGCAAGGGGGCUGGGCUGAGGAAAAAUAAGUGCUGGCCAUCAGGGCUGGAGGGGGGGGGGGGCAGAACUUUGGUAACCAUAUACCACUGUGCCUAUCAUUUAUUUGUCUGACAAAUAAAUUAUUAUUUUAAUUUCUCUAUUGCUGCGUUGAAUAUUUCAUUCCAGCUAAGCGUUAACCACAAGCAGGGUGCUACAGUUAUAGUCAAUUUUUGCGACAUUAUAUGAAAGAUCAUAAUUUCGAAACAACUGAAAUUUGUAAACCAGGCAUUAUUGUUUUUUUGCUUACUGCUUGUGAUUUCUUUGGGGAAGACAAACCACAACUGUGGGUCUGCAUGUAAUGGUAGUGUGGCGGCAGCAGGAUCAGGAGGAGCAAAGCGGCUGAGAUUUUCUAAAUGUACAACAACAGCAGCAGCACACUUCCUCAUUUAUUCUUAGCACUGCAUGCAAACUGAACCAAUAUUUUCAAGCAAGAUCUCAGUAGAGACCAUUAGAGUCCUCAGAAGUAAAUCUCUAUUGGCUACUCUCACUUGGUUUAGCCAGAAUGACUUUGUCAGAAUAAAAUAAUUCCACAAAUUAUUUUUAAAAACAUUAGAAAUACUUAAUUAACAACUUUACACUUUGUUGUUGGAAACUAAUUAGCACCAAAGUUUAACAGCAUUGCAUUGCCUUUUUAAUGCUGUGGUAAGGCCUAUUGCAUUUCUGUUCUGUGGACUGAAGUACGCAAUUGGAGAUACAAAGUGGAUUCAUUUGUAAUCCUCUUGAGAUAUAAUGAUCUUAUACAGUCAUUGGCUUUGUUUCAUGCUUCAGAGCAGUAAUCCGAUCAACUAUCAUGUUAAUUCAAAUGUCCACAGACUCUGCUGGGGAAAAGCUGCUCCAGUAGUAUCAGAAAUGAUAGUGAAUUGCCAAUAGAGCUUAUCAUCCAGCUGCACAUACAGAUGUUUAAAGGGUGGCUUUGAAAUUAGAUUGGAAAAGAAUUGUUAGCAUCCAACAAAUGUUUUUGGAAGGGCAGCGGUGCAAGAGGAAGGGCUGAAACUCAGCGGUGGCACUUCUGUUUUACAUGCAGAUGUUCCUAGGUUCAAUUCCUAGCAUCUCCACUUAGGGCUGGGAAAAAGACAUCCCUGAAACCAUGAAAACACAAGAACUACCAACAGUGGAAGAUUGGCAGAUGAAGAUGAUGGACUUUUCGGAGCUAGCUGACCUGACUGGAAGAAUCCGCGACCAGAAAGAAGAGGAGUUUCAAGAGGACUGGAGGAAAUUCAAGGACUAUUUGAAUAAAUAUUGUAAUAUAAAAAAUUAGAAAUUACUUGAAAGAAACAAAUAGGCCUAGGUAGGAUUAAAUUAAGUCAUAAUUAAAUAAAUGGG
rnacentral:lncRNA from 1 species